rnacentral:lncRNA from 1 species
UGCCCCUUUUCCUUUUGAAGACCUACUUACACCCUAUAGGUUUUACACCUUUAGAUGGAUCAACUAAUGUCCAUAUAUCGUUGACCUUCAUGGACUCCAUUUUGAAGUUUAUGGCUUCAAACUAUUUCUCAGAGUUGGACUUCUGCAUCGCAUCCAUGUAGAUGACUGGAUCUUCACUGUUCUCAUCGAGCUCAAUAAGAUCUC